rnacentral:rRNA from 1 species
CGCUGGCGGCAGGCCUAACACAUGCAAGUCGAGCGGAUGAAAGGAGCUUGCUCCUGGAUUCAGCGGCGGACGGGUGAGUAAUGCCUAGGAAUCUGCCUGGUAGUGGGGGACAACGUUUCGAAAGGAACGCUAAUACCGCAUACGUCCUACGGGAGAAAGCAGGGGACCUUCGGGCCUUGCGCUAUCAGAUGAGCCUAGGUCGGAUUAGCUAGUUGGUGAGGUAAUGGCUCACCAAGGCGACGAUCCGUAACUGGUCUGAGAGGAUGAUCAGUCACACUGGAACUGAGACACGGUCCAGACUCCUACGGGAGGCAGCAGUGGGGAAUAUUGGACAAUGGGCGAAAGCCUGAUCCAGCCAUGCCGCGUGUGUGAAGAAGGUCUUCGGAUUGUAAAGCACUUUAAGUUGGGAGGAAGGGCAGUAAAUUAAUACUUUGCUGUUUUGACGUUACCGACAGAAUAAGCACUGGCU